rnacentral:rRNA from 1 species
UGGGGAAUAUUGCACAAUGGGCGCAAGCCUGAUGCAGCCAUGCCGCGUGUGUGAAGAAGGCCUUCGGGUUGUAAAGCACUUUCAGCGGGGAGGAAGGCGGUGAGGUUAAUAACCUCACCGAUUGACGUUACCCUCAGAAGAAGCACCGGCUAACUCCGUGCCAGCAGCCGCGGUAAUACGGAGGGUGCAAGCGUUAAUCGGAAUUACUGGGCGUAAAGCGCACGCAGGCGGUCUGUCAAGUCGGAUGUGAAAUCCCCGGGCUCAACCUGGGACCUGCAUUCGAAACUGGCAGGCUAGAGUCUUGUAGAGGGGGGUAGAAUUCCAGGUGUAGCGGUGAAAUGCGUAGAGAUCUGGAGGAAUACCGGUGGCGAAGGCGGCCCCCUGGACGAAGACUGACGCUCAGGUGCGAAAGCGUGGGGAGCAAACAGG